rnacentral:rRNA from 1 species
UACGGGGGGGGCAAGCGUUGUUCGGAAUCACUGGGCUUAAAGGGCGCGUAGGCGGAGGGUGUAGUCGGUGGUGAAAUCCUCCAGCUCAACUGGAGAAUGGCCUCCGAUACUGACUCUCUCGAGGGAGGUAGGGGCAUGUGGAACUCAGGGUGGAGCGGUGAAAUUCGUAGAUAUUCGGAGGAACACCAGUGGCGAAGGCGGCUCACUGGUCCAUUACUGACGCUGAGGUGCGAAAGCGUGGGGAGCAAACAGG